rfam:Brachypodium distachyon strain Bd21 chromosome 4, whole genome shotgun sequence.
UUAGUAUUCCCUUUGUCCAACAAAGGAUGUCUCAACUUUGACCAAAUUUAAAUGCAUCUAUACACUAAGUCAUGUUUAGAUACAUCCAAAUUUUGACAAACUAGAGACAUCUUUUGUUGAACGGAGGAAGUACAUG